rnacentral:rRNA from 1 species
UACGUAGGGCGCAAGCGUUGUCCGGAAUUAUUGGGCGUAAAGAGCUCGUAGGCGGUUUGUCGCGUCUGCUGUGAAAACCUAAGGCUCAACCUUGGGCUUGCAGUGGGUACGGGCAGACUAGAGUGUGGUAGGGGAGACUGGAAUUCCUGGUGUAGCGGUGAAAUGCGCAGAUAUCAGGAGGAACACCGAUGGCGAAGGCAGGUCUCUGGGCCACU